rnacentral:rRNA from 1 species
GACUGCUAUCGGAUUGAUACUAAGCCAUGCGAGUCUUUGUAGUAAUACAAGGCAGACGGCUCAGUAACACGUAGUCAACCUACCCUAUGGACAAGAAUAAUCUCGGGAAACUGGGCAUAAUUCUUGAUAGAUCAUAAUGCCUGGAAUGGUUUAUGGUUAAAAUGAUUCGUCGCCAUAGGAUGGGACUGCGGCCUAUCAGCUUGUUGGUGAGGUAAUGGCCCACCAAGGCGAUUACAGGUACGGGCUCUGAGAGGAGUAGCCCGGAGAUGGGUACUGAGACACGGACCCAGGCCCUAUGGGGCGCAGCAGGCGAGAAAACUUUGCAAUGUGCGAAAGCACGACAAGGUUAAUCCGAGUGAUUUCUGCUAAAGAAAUCUUUUGCCAGUCGUAAAACCGCUGGUGAAUAAGGGGUGGGCAAGUUCUGGUGUCAGCCGCCGCGGUAAAACCAGCACCUCAAGUGGUCAGGAUGAUUAUUGGGCCUAAAGCAUCCGUAGCCUGCUCUGUAAGUUUUCGGUUAAAUCUGUAUGCUCAACAUACAGGCCGCCGGGAAUACUGCAGAGCUAGGGAGUGGGAGAGGUAGACGGUACUCAGUAGGAAGGGGUAAAAUCCUUUGAUCUAUUGAUGACCACCUGUGGCGAAGGCGGUCUACCAGAACACGUUCGACGGUGAGGGAUGAAAGCUGGGGGAGCAAACCGGAUUAGAUACCCGGGUAGUCCCAGCUGUAAACGAUGCAGACUCGAUGAUGCAUUGGCAUAAUAGCCAGUGCAGUGUCGCAGGGAAGCCGUUAAGUCUGCCGCCUGGGAAGUACGUACGCAAGUAUGAAACUUAAAGGA